CUCACCAUUUAUUUUUUAACUCCAAUUUUGCGAAACCAUUUUUUACCUAAACAAGAUCCUCGAACGACUUUUAUCACUUCAAUUGUGAUUUUUGAAUCAUAUGUAAUCUUUUGUUUUUUCUUCCUCAAGAACACAUGAUCAACAACAUCAAGAACUCUCAAAUUUUCAAGUUCUUCAAUUCUUCAUGAAAUCAUCUCAAAUUUCGGUCACGUCAUUAUUUUUAUUUUUAUUUUUAAAAAAAUCAUUUGUGGAGUUAAGAAAACCCGUCCGUAUUUAAAUUUUUUUGAAAAAGCGGAAUCCCAAAAUUUGAAAAUUUGCUUUGAUUUGUGUUUUGGUUGUUGUUUUGACAUUAGAUCUUUAAUUUGUUCCCUAGUAUUUUUUUGAAUCUAUGUCCGAAAUUUCAAGUGAUUUAGGGUUGUGGAGAAACUUCUACCAUUAAAGGAUGUUGAAGUUUUGAACAAAUUUCAAGUGGGUUUUAUUGAGUUAGGUUGAAUUCGAUCUCAAAAGAUAUUGAGUUUGAUAACUAGUUCGGAGGAAAACUAUUCUUAAAAUUUGAGGUGAUUUCGUGAAGAAAUGAAGAAGUU
rnacentral:lncRNA from 1 species